UACGUAGGGCGCAAGCGUUGUCCGGAAUUAUUGGGCGUAAAGGGCUCGUAGGCGGUCUGUCGCGUCGGGAGUGAAAACUCGGGGCUUAACUCCGAGCCUGCUUCUGAUACGGGCAGACUAGAGGUAUGCAGGGGAGAAUGGAAUUCCUGGUGUAGCGGUGAAAUGCGCAGAUAUCAGGAGGAACACCGGUGGCGAAGGCGGUUCUCUGGGCAUGACCUGACGCUGAGGAGCGAAAGUGUGGGGAGCGAACAGG
rnacentral:rRNA from 1 species